GGCGCCGGGGGGCGGGGAGGGGGCGGAGCCUGGGGGCCUCAAGGCCCGCGCCCCUCCCGCGGCCUGACCUCCCUGAACGCUCGGCCGGUGACGUCACCCCGCCGUGACGCGCACGCAGUAGGAAAACUAGACAGGGCCUUGCUAUAUUGCCCAAGCUGGUCUUGAACUUCUGGCUUCAAGUGAUCCUUCUGGCUUAGCCUCCCAGAGUGCUGGGAUUACAGAUAAAAAUGAAUCCCAUUUCCCAUCCAGUACUGAAGUGUUAAGGUUAGAAGACAUUUGCUAAGUCAAAUCACUGGCCUGGCAACUUAAAUAGUAAUUUCAGCCAGUUUGCAUUUAAUGGAAGGAGACCAUUGUCUACUCAUGUACCUGUCUAACUCAUAAUGAAGCAGAACUCGGGAAAGAAAUUGAAGAAGAAAACAAAAUUGUGAAAUGAAAACAACAUUGGAAGGAGUACAAGAGAAUAAGAUGAUCUAGGAAAAACAGUGAGGUCAUGGAAAUUUGGCAAGAGAGAGGUGUGUUGAAGAAAGUAUGCACAUCUUAUCUUCUGAACAUUUUGAUGGAAUUAACCACAAAUUUUGUGCAAAAAUAGAAAAAGGAAAGAUACUAUUCAAGUCAAAUACAUCAUAAUGCAGAAUUCUUUAUCAGUACCACCCAAAGAUGAAGGCUAAACCGUAUUUUUCAAAAAAGAGGCAUGAAAACAACAUAAUAAGGCCAACUAUUUAAAUUUGUUGAAAGAAAGACAAAGUCACCACAGUGAUUAAAAAUGCAAGUGAAUUUAUUUAUUUGCCAUGUAAGAAAACUCACACAGGAGAGUGCCGCAGUGAAGAAUAUGAAUGCUUGAACAGUUUGUGGGCACCACCCUACUCGGCUAAGUUGCUAGAGAAGGUUUACCCCAUCGGCACCAAUGUCAAGUGCAAAUGUUGACACAAGGCAAAUGACAUCUCAAUAGGAGUGUGAAGAGAGUAUUUGGCACCCUCUCUGAGGUUCUGCAAACCCUACUUUGAGAAACACUGAUGUAAUCUAAUCCCCUCUUGCUAAAGAGAGGAAACUAUGGCCAGGAAGGAUUAAGGAUUAUUCUAGCAGCAUAAUCAGUCAAAGCCAGACGUCUACUCUCUGUCAUACACAUAAUGCAGUGUGUCUUGUUUUCGCUGAGGAACUCCUCCUCCAGCCUCCUGCGAAAAGAAAAUUCCUCAGAUCCAAAUCAUUACACCACAGCACUGAUGUAUUAUAGAGUUUACUAAGGGAGCAGGACUUGCCACAUGAGGAAUUUAGAAAUUCUUUUAGCAUUUUAGACUUUUCUUUCAGUCCUAAUGUUCUUAGGUGUCAUCAGUUUUAGAAGAAGGUGGUAUAAGAUUAAGAAGUAUCUAAGAAAUGUAUGUUAUUUUUAAAAUUUUAAAAGACCUUAGUAAUUUCUUUCUUCUUUUUUGCUCAUCAAAAAAAUCACCUUCUCACUGCUUAAAAGUGUCAUUAAAUGUAUUAUGUAAUUGUUGCUUCAAAAAGUCAGAUUCUGGUGUAAGCCUGAUUUGGUCACCAGCAGCUCUGUUAAAAGAAGGCGGUAGUUACAGUGCUAUAGGGCAUUGCAAAUUGCCGUGUGUGACUUCAUUAACUAUUUCUCCAGUAACCUUGCUGUAGAUUUCUCUUAGAAGAAGGACAUGUUCUUUCUCUGCUAACAGUUGCACUGUGACUGGAAAAAAGUUGUUCAAAAAGGUCUUUGUUUUCUCAGCAUUGAGAUGGAUUAUGUGGCACUCACCAGCCACUAGAAGAGAUAAAUUGACAAACAACUUGUUAGGCUCAGUGUGUUGGAAUCGAGGGAGCUUUGGUGCCAGACAGACCUGGUUAAAAGCCACCUCUCAAUACCUGCUUUGUGACCUUGCAAGGAAUGUUUUCUCCAUAUCUCCAUAUCUAUAGACUGGAGGUGUUAAUACCAAGAACUGGUGGAGGACUUGAGACAGUAGAUUAAGCAUUCAGUCUGACUUCUGAGGGGCAUUUUAACUUCAAAAUAGAACUUCAGGAAGAGUAGAAAGGGAUGAGUAGAGGCAGUGUAUAUCUACACAUCUGCCAUAGAUUGUCUCAGGAAGAAAAGGAAGGAGAUAGGGCCUAACGACUCUUUCUUGUUGCUGUUGUUUUUCUGUUUUUGUGUUCAGCAGUAGCACAGCUGAAGGAAGGCACGUUAAUAUGGUUGAGAAUUAAUAGUUUGCUCCUUCAGUAAAAAAAUAUGUUGCACAACUGCCAGCUGCCGAUCUGGAGACUGAGGCCCUAGCAGUAACAAAACAAGCCCCUGCUCUUUUGGAGCUUACAUUUUAGGGAGGAGACAGAAGCAGAAAAAGAAAACAGCAAGUGAUUGCAUGGGGCUGAGCAGCUCCGUUGAGAUAGGAUGGUCACACAGGCCAGCCUCCCUGAGAGCUGGGGGAGCUCACCAAUGGGGCAGAAUCCCCAAGGCACGAGGGGCAUGGAAGGAAAGGUAGUGUCCAGAGCAGGGUUGGGAAUACUUGACUUCCUUAUUUUCAGAUGCACCUUUUUGUCAGGACUUGAGUAUUGUAUAUUUAGAGUGAUAGUACUUCUCUUCCUUGCCCCCACCACAGAAAAGGUUUUUUAUAAAUUUACUUAUGUGACAUAAUCAAAGAUAAAAAGAGAGUUUAGAAAUAGAAGGGAUAGUAAACGAGUUCCCACAUGAUAGCCUCUCUUUUUUCCAUGAAGAUAAUGUCAAAAAUCAUUGGCAAGACAGAGAUAGCCCUGGGGAAAGGGCAGAGGUGGGGCAGAGGGAGAGUGCCUCAGAAGAGCAGGGGGAACGUGGGCCACCUCAGUGAGGGACAGAAGAGAGUCUCUUAGGGACAAGUAAAUAGACUGUGGAAUCAGUUUUGAACUAGAAACUUUAAACUUAGAACAUUGUCCAAUGUUCACAAUGGUUGGAUUUUUCCAGCACCAAAUAACAGGCGGUAGAUGCGGAGAGCACAAGGUGGGGCCAGCUGGGCAAGGUUCUGUAGGAAGACAGCAAGGGGGUGAACCUGUGAUAUGAGCGGAGUGAGUGUGGAUGGUCAGCCACAAGGCCAGCUCUGAAAUGGGAAGAUCUACCUAAGGAGACCACUCACAAGCAUGCAUAGCCUCGAAGCAAGGAGAAGCAGUGAGCUGUGUCAUCACUUCAUCUCCAGGGAGAUGGGAGAAUUAAGUCUGACAUACUCCUCAUCUGUGCAUGAGAGUAGAUAGAUAUUCCCUUCAGCCAGCUUUCCUAAUCAUCACUAAAAGACAGUCAACAUAUUGGUGGAGAAGAAGAAUGGCAGAAUUCAAAGACAAAGGAAUCCAAAGUAGUCACUACCGCUUUCAUUAUAGAAAUAAGGAACAGUCAAGACUUACCAGCAGAAAUGUUAGGGAAUAAUUAUCCACAGAGCAAAGGAAUUCUUGACUUCUUAGAGAUCCAUGGCUGUCCAACCUUGUGCAUUUGUACUUAGAAAUCAUGAGCUAUGUGACAUAAAAGCUGAGGUAUAGAAAAACAUGCAGCAAAAAAAGUUGUAAAUCACUUUGAGUUAAAGAUAAAUCAGCAGAGAUGAUAAAGCAUCUGUAAAACUGUACUAUAAAGCAGUGAAACAAUUCCUUUUUUAAACUGUAGUUUGUACAUUCCUCAAAAAUACCUCUUUUAGAUAAAGUGAACUUACUUUUGAAAUUACAGUAUAAAAAGAUGCCUUUGUAAUUUUGGUUCCCUGUGUUUAGCUAUACUGUUGUUGAAACGUUGUGAUUUUUACCACUUUAGUUUCAUAAUCAUAGUGUUUUGACCAAAGGCAAGAAAAUUCCUGCCUUUUGGAUGUGUCCUAGUUUAAUUGUUCCAACUGACUGCACAUUCUGAUGGUGAAACCUUAUCUUUCUGUUUAUCCCACUGAGGAAAAGAUUUCUUCACCGUCAUCUGGUUAGUCAUCCCAGAUACUUAACUGUUCUGCUAUUGAAAAAUAAAAGUAGGCCUGGUGCAAUGGCUCAUGCUUGUAAUUCCAACAUUUAGAGAACUGAGGUAGGAAGACCACUUGAGCCCAGAUAUUCGAGACCAGCCUGGGCCACAUAGUGAGACUUCAACUCUACAAAACAAUGUUUAAAAACUAGCCACAUAGGGUGGUAUGCACCCUAUUCCAACUUCUUGGGAGGCUGAGACAGGAGGAUCACUUGAGCCCAGGAGUUUACAGGGUGAGCUGUGAUCGAUCAUACCAUUGCACUCAAGCCUGGGUGACAGAGCAAGACCCUGUCUCAAAAGAAAAAGAAAAUGUAAGCUGGGCGCGAUGGCUCACGCCUGUAAUUCCAGCACUUUGGGAGGCCGAAGUGGGUGGAUCACGAGGUCAAGAGAUUGAGACUAUCCUGGUCAACAUGGUGAAACCCCGUCUCUACUAAAAAUGAAAAAAAUUAGCUGGGCAUGGUUGCGGGUGCCUGUAAUCCCAGCUACUCAGGAGGCUGAGGCAGGAGAAUUGCCUGAACCCAGGAGGGGGAAGUUGCGGUGAGCCGAGAUCGCGCCAUUGCACUCCAGCCUGGGUAACAAGAGCGAAACUUCAUCUCAAAAAAAAAAAGGAAAAGAAAAUGUAAAAAGAAGGGCCUAUUUUUAAUUUGUUGGUGGACGAUUUCUUGCCAUGACAUAUCUGUGCGGCUCAUUAAGGCUCAUUUGCAGAUGUUUUCAUGUUCACCGGCUCCAUUGAAAAACAGCUGACUCGGCAAAUGUCAGAGUGUCCUGGAAGGACAGUGUACACAGGUAUUUGUGAUGAUGACAUGAGGUCCAAUGAAAUGAUCUGCUGCUUUUUACCAUGUUAGAGUUCAGUUAUCAAGGUCUAAAUUCCAACUGUGUGACUCAGCUGAAUAUUAACAGUUUGAGUGAUAAUAACAGAAAGAAUAUUGAGAGAAUAGGGUUAGCAAAGCAUUUCAGAAGUUUGUGUUUAUCUUGCUCAGUGUCUUUGGAAGGUCAUUAGCUCUCCUCAGUCAUUCUGAGAUUUGAGUCAAGAUACUGGCUUGAAUGUUUUGUAAUAAUGAAUACAAUCUUAUGCAUGCUACAAAUUAUUUUUGCCAAAAAGUAAGCAACUUUAUCUUUCUAAAUGUAUUAAAACAAAAACAUUUCAUAUGGCUUUCAACCAUUUUUAUCAGAAGCAUUCCAAAUCAAAACCAGUUCCUUCCAGAAAGAACUAAUAAAAGCUUCAUAAUUAGAAUGAAGAAGAAAUUUGUUGAAAUUGAGAAUCAUUAAAAUAUAUAUUAAGUGGUUAACCUUUUUAAAUGUACUUUUUACUUAGGACAUUAAUUCUGUGGCCCUGAAAGAAUGAAUAGUUACUUCAGUUUACCAACCACAUUGUGUUAUUUUUUUUAACUGCCCUUAAUAUUCUAGGUAACUGGCUUUUAAAUUCUUUCAUAAAGAAUGCUUGUUUCCUCUUGCGGCAUGAUGUGGUCAGCCUGCCGCAUUCUGGGUUCUGCGUCUGUGGGUUCUGCAUCCAUGGAUUCAACUAACCACAGGUUGAAAAAAAAUUUUUAAUUGCAUCGGUACUGAACACUUUUUUCCCCGUGUCAUUAUUCCCUAAACAAUAUGGUAAAAUAACUACAUAGUAUUUACAUUGUACUGGGUAUUAUAAGCAUCUAGAGAUGAUUUGGGGUAUACAAGAGGUGGUAUGUAUAGGUUAUAUGCAAACACUAUGCCAUUUCCAUCAGGGAUUUGAGUACCUUUGGAUUUGAGUGUCUGAAGGAGAUCACUGUGCUGCGGAGGAACCAAUCCCCUACAGAUGCUAAGGGACAACUAUAUUUAUAUAUCUCAUUUAGUCCAUUUUAGGGGCUACAGUUCCUCUUUCGGUACCUAACUUUUCUUUCUGUACUCAAGGUGUCUUAAAACUUACAAUGAUUUAUUUGGCAAAAUACUAUAGUCUACAAAGCAAGUGUCCCUAUCCCUGCUCUAGGCUCCAUCCCCCAUCACAGGGCCACUGAGAUCUGUACUCACCCCACUUUCUGAACAACUACUAGCAUAAUUGCUUUCUU